rnacentral:lncRNA from 1 species
AUUAUUAUUAUUAUUAUUAUUAUUAUUAUUAUUAUUAUAUACAUAUGACCAUCGCUAGGUAUUAGUCCACCCUUUUGAGCAGAUCUCUGCAGAUCUACAAAGAUGUACUGUCUUGUACUGAUGCUAUGUAGACAAAUAGAUGGCUUCUUAAUUCUUAAUGGUGAUCCUAUAAGAAUUUCUAAAAUUAUAUCAGUAUUUAUUAAGCUCUUAUAUAGUGGGACUGCUAUUAGGUCCUUUUCUGAUAGUCAAAACUGCAAUGAGAACUCUGCCAGUCUCCCACGUGUCACCAGUUAAUUGCCUCUUAGAUGGUAAAAAGACUUUCUACUACUCAGAGCACAUUCCAAGAGGUUGUAAAACAAUUAACCGAAGGUCAUAAAAAGAGAACUAACGAUUUAUUAUAGGUGCUAGGAGCUGUGACUGGUGAUGGAUGCUUAGCUAGAUAGUUACUCCUAGUGGAUAUGCAUGUAAACAUUCUCUGUUGUAAACUUCUAUUUCAGUUUAUGAUUUGAAUUUUUGUGUAAACUUGUAAUGAACUUUUUACCAUGUGAUCAUGUAUUCUGAACGAUGUAUAAGUGCUGAGGACAAAGAGAAGAGACAGAACUGAGCUGAGGACAGAACUGAGCUGAGGACAGAACUGAGCUGAGGACAGAACUGAGCUGAGGACAGAACUGAGCUGAGGAGAACUUUUUAGACAGAAGACUUUUUAGAAAGAUCUGAACAGAAUUUUUAGAAUAGAACUGAGGGGUUUGUUUUGUUUUGUUUUGUUUUUAAAGUCAGGACACAAAAGAACUUUAUAGAAAGAUUUCAACUCAAAAAGAGCAUAGAAGUAAAGAAAGGCACACCUUUGGGAGAAAGGGCAUUGAGAGUAAGAGCAUUAUUGUGAUAUCAGAGUAGGAGGAAAGAGCAAAAUUAUAAGGAGAAUGAACAGUGGAAUAACUUAGAAACCAUAGGUUACAAACUAAGAAAGCAAUGUGAAGAAUUCAGAGGGAAAGAGGGAAUAAGAAGAAGCUGUAGAGAAAGCAGAAGGGGCAGGCAAGCUUUUCCUUAUCAUGGGACAGAACAGGUCUUUUCUUAAUAACAAGCCAGGCUUAGUCUUAUUAAAAGGAACCAAGCUCUCUUCUUACAAACUUGAGUUUAAUUCACUUAGCAUCAAAAGGUAGAAACUGUUUUGUUCGCUAUACAAUAAAGAUUGGAGUUCAUUUUUCAUCC